rnacentral:lncRNA from 1 species
UUAGAGUCCAAGUUAUCUAGGGUUUAGUGGAGGCUGUCCUCCUUUAUAAACACAUGUACCCCUUCGAUAUUAAGCAGACAAUAAACAGUAUAUUCUGUUGUCGUCUUCCUCAGGAGACGAGAGCCCCAAACCCUAGCCGCCUCUCUCUCUCUCUCUCACGCCGCGACGGCGCCUAACUGCCGGCGCCGGCGUCCCCAACCUCGCAGCCCGCACUUCCACACCUACAACCUACGUCCGAGACCUGGUAGAACCCUAGCCUCUACCACAUACACAAGUUUGACUUCAUUAAAAUCGAGACACCUUAUAUUCUGGAACAGAGGGAGUAUUUCCUCUGCAUCAAACAACAUACUAUUAAUCUCAAAGCUUACACAGUUUUGAUAGUUAAUCUAGAAUGGACCGGAGAGGAAGAGAAAGCAUAGUAGUAACGACAUGAUAAUACUACUAGACACAAAAAGGUAAACUUACCUGUAGCCUGAAUGGCUUGACUCCAAGGAUAACAAGACGCUCAAAGAGAGACUGUGCUAAUCCUGCUCGUGCUGCCUUUUUGCACAUGAUAACUGGACCCAAUUGGCAAUGAUCUCCAACAAGAACAACCUGAAUAGCUCGAAAGCAUAAAUAAAUAAAAUCAGGUUAACCUAAAUGAGGUCAUUGAUUAUAUCUUCACCUGCUUAACACCAAGAACCAAUGGAAUAAGACAUUCUGGCUCUGUCGCCUGUGUAGACUCAUCGAUAAGAACCUGUCGAUAACAAUUUCCAUUGCUUCAGGACACAAUAUAGAACACAUAUGAGCACUACUAACUUAAAAACUAAAGGGUAGAAAUCAUUACCUGGCGAAAGCGGAAGUUUGACAAACGAGGGUCUCCAGCGCCAACACAGGUGCAACAAAUCACAUCAGCANCCCCGCUACCGACGUGGAUGGACACGCCGACCUACACGACGGCGCCACUACAGCCGACGGUGUUGCAGCCACCCGCCCCCACCUUCGGGGGGUUCGGCAGGUACACUGAUCCGUACGCCGGGAGCUCCGUGGUGCCGCAACAAUCUUCUUCCGCCGCGCUGGGCCGUCACGAGGGCACCUACGCGGCCUCGCCACACGUGCAGCAGCCACCCCGCUUCACCAAGCUGGAGUUCGCCACCUACGACGGCACCGUCGACCCCCUGAACUGGCUCAAUCAGUGCGACCAGUUUUUCAGGGGGCAGCGGACCAUGGCGUCCGACCGCCUGGUCAUACGUGCGCCCGCCUGUUCUACUUAGAGACCGUCGACGACGCGGAGGUGGAGGCCCUCACCGCGGCGCUCGACGCCACCACUCUCCGAGGCCGGCGUCACAACCUACGGGCCGGUCGACGCGACCGCCUUCGUCGUCUCCCUUCAUGCCAUGGCUGGCAUCAAGACGGCAAAGACGAUGCUGCUUCCGGUGACGAUCAACGGGGAGCGUCUAACCGCGCUCGUGGACACGGGUUCGACGCACAACUUCCUGUCCGGGGACGCCAUGCGCCGCCUCGCACUCCAACCGGCGGGCUCGGAGAAGUUCAGCGUCACCGUCGCCAACGGGGACCGCCUUGCUUGCCAGGGGGUGGCGCGGCAGGUUCCCGUCCUCAUCGGCGACGAGCCGUUCUCGAUCGACUGCGUCGGCAUCGACCUGGGCUGCUACGACUUCAUCCUCGGCAUCGACUUCCUGUCCACUCUCGGCCCCAUACUUUAGGACCUCGAUGUGUUGUCCCUCAUCUCCUGGCGCGAGGGCGGCCGUCGUGUUCAGUGGACAGGCAUCGGCGGCUCCGGCGCCGUGACUCCACAGCUCCAGUUGAUGGCGUCCGCACUGGACGAGGCGCAUCCCCUCCUGGCCGACCUCUUGCAGCAGCACAACGACAUCUUCGACGAGCCACAGGGCCUCCCUCCCGUGCGGCCCUGUGACCACCGCAUCCACCUGCUGCCGGACACGGCACCUGUAGCCAUGCGUCCGUACCGGUACCCUCAGCUGCAGAAAGACGAGCUCGAGCGUCAGGUGGCGGUCAUGCUCGCGCAAGGCAUCAUCCGGAUUUCGACAUCGCCGUUCUCCGCCCCGGUGCUCCUUGUGCGCAAGUCCGACGGCACAUGGCGCUUCUGCAUCGACUACCACGCCCUCAACGCCCUGAUGUCCAAGGACAAGUUCCCCAUCCCCGUCGUGGAUGAGCUCUUGGACGAGCUACACGGAGCGCGCUUCUUCACCAAGCUCGACCUUCGCUCGAGCUACGAUCAGGUGCGCAUGCACCCUGACGACAUCGAGAAGACGGCGUUCCGCACUCACCAUGGCCACUUCGAGUUCCUGGUGAUGCCGUUCGGCCUCUCCAACGCGUCGGCGACCUUCCAGGCCCUGAUGAACGACGUGCUCAGCCCAUACUUGCGCCGCUUUGCGCUUGUUUUCUUUGAUGACAUUCUCAUCUACAGUGCAUCUUGGGCGGAGCAUCUACAACAUGUGGCCAUCAUCUUCAACGAGCUUCGAGCGCAUCGUCUUCACCUCAAGCGCUCGAAGUGCUCGUUCGGCACGACCUCCAUCGCGUACCUGGGGCACGUCAUCUCGACGGACGGGUAGCGAUGGACGCGGACAAGGUCGCCGCCGUCGCCGCAUGGCCGAUCCCGCGGUCACCGCGUGCGCUCCGCGGCUUCUUGGGCCUCGCCGGCUACUACCGGAAGUACAUCCGGGACUUCGGCCUCACCGCCGCGCCACUGACGCGUCUCCUUCGACGCGACGCCUUCUCCUGGGACGAGGAGGCGACUACGGCAUUCGAGGCUCUCCAGCAGGCGCUCACGACGGGACCCGUCCUCCAGAUGCCGGACUUUGAUAUGCCGUUCAUCAUGGACUGCGACGCCUCUGGCAUCGGCUUCGGCGCCGUCCUUCACCAGGGCGAGGGACCGCUCGCCUUCUUCAGCCGCCCCUUCGUCGCUCGCCAUCACAAGCUCGCGGCCUACGAGCGCGAGCUUAUUGGGCUGGUUCAGGCGGUGCGCCACUGGCAGCCUUAUCUUUGGGGCCGGUCAUUCCGUGUGCGCACAGACCACUACAGCCUCAAGUUCUUGCUGGACCAGCGCCUCUCCACAGUUUCGCAACACCAGUGGAUCAGCAAGCUCUUUGGCUUCGACUUCACUGUUGAGUACCGCCCCGGCCGUCUCAACACGGUCGCCGACGCCUUGUCCCGCCGCGACACUGCAGAUGUCGCGGACGACGUCGCCAUGGCUGGCACUAUCAUGUGCAUUCGCUCCGGGCCAUCUUUCGCCUUCAUCAACAAAAUUCGCCGGGCAACUUCGACGGCCGUGGACGCCCAGGGCCUACGCCGGCGAGCUGGACGCGCCCUGGCGCUUGGACGAGGGGCUACUCCUACAUGGCCGCCGCAUCUUUGUGCCCGACCAUGGCGACCUACGACACCAGGUCCUGACUUUGGCGCACUCUGCAGGGCACGAGGGCGUGCAGAAGACUCUCCAUCGUCUCCGUGCUGAUUUUUACAUCCCCGGUGAUGGCGCGAUGGUCCGCGACUGGGUGCGGUCGUGCGUGACGUGCCAGCGGAGGAGGAAGCGACUUGGGAGAAGCUCGACGAUGAGGUAUGCGAGUGUACAGUGGACCGGCCUGCCAGAGGAGGAAGCGACUUGGGAGAAGCUCGACGAUUUCCGCCAGCAGUUUCCAGAUGUUCAGCUCGAGGACGAGCUGUUUGAGAAGGCGGGGAGAGAUGUUAUGACCGGUACAACGUACCAACGGAGGAGGCCCAAUGGGCAGGGUUAAUUACGGGCUUAGCCCAAGUUAUCUUACCUAUCUUAGAAGUCCAAGUUAUAUUAGAGUCCAAGUUAGAGUCCAAGUUAUCUAGGGUUUAGUGGAGGUUGUCCUCCUUUAUAAACACAUGUACCCCUUCGAUAUUAAUCAGACAAUAAACAGUAUAUUCUGUUGUCGUCUCCCUCAGGAGACGAGAGCCCCAAACCCUAGCCGCCUCUCUCUCUCUCUCACGCCGCGACGGCGCCUAACCGCCGGCGCCGGCGUCCCCAACCUCGCAGCCCGCACUUCCACCCCUACAACCUACGUCCGAGACCUGGUAGAACCCUAGCCUCUACCACAUACACAAGUUUGACUUCAUUAAAAUCGAGACACCUUAUAUUCUGGAACAGAGGGAGUAUUUCCUCUGCAUCAAACAACAUACUAUUAAUCUCAAAGCUUACACAGUUUUGAUAGUUAAUCUAGAAUGGA